rnacentral:tRNA from 1 species
GGUGGCUCAGUGGUAAAGUGCUUGCCUUGCAUGCAUGAGGCCCGGGGUUCGAUUCCUUAGCACCA